rnacentral:rRNA from 1 species
CUCCUCUGAUUCAGCGGCGGACGGGUGAGUAACACGUGGGCAACCUGCCUGUAAGACUGGGAUAACUUCGGGAAACCGGAGCUAAUACCGGAUAACUCAUGAGACCUCAUGGUCUUAUGAUAAAAGAUGGUUUCGGCUAUCACUUACAGAUGGGCCCGCGGCGCAUUAGCUAGUUGGUGAGGUAACGGCUCACCAAGGCGACGAUGCGUAGCCGACCUGAGAGGGUGAUCGGCCACACUGGGACUGAGACACGGCCCAGACUCCUACGGGAGGCAGCAGUAGGGAAUCUUCCGCAAUGGACGAAAGUCUGACGGAGCAACGCCGCGUGAGCGAUGAAGGCCUUCGGGUCGUAAAGCUCUGUUGUUAGGGAAGAACAAGUAUCAGUUAACUGCUGGUACCUUGACGGUACCUAACGAGAAAGCCACGGCUAACUACGUGCCAGCAGCCGCGGUAAUACGUAGGUGGCAAGCGUUGUCCGGAUUUAUUGGGCGUAAAGCGCGCGCAGGCGGUUCUUUAAGCCUGAUGUGAAAGCCCCCGGCUCAACCGGGGAGGGUCAUUGGAAACUGGGGAACUUGAGUGCAGAAGAGAAGAGCGGAAUUCCACGUGUAGCGGUGAAAUGCGUAGAGAUGUGGAGGAACACCAGUGGCGAAGGCGGCUCUUUGGUCUGUAACUGACGCUGAGGCGCGAAAGCGUGGGGAGCAAACAGGAUUAGAUACCCUGGUAGUCCACGCCGUAAACGAUGAGUGCUAAGUGUUGGAGGGUUUCCGCCCUUCAGUGCUGCAGCUAACGCAUUAAGCACUC